UAUUCAAUAUCUGACCUUGCGCCUCUAUUCAAGCUCCAACCGAGAUAGUAGAGCUGCGCAUCGAUUUGACUGGUGUCGUAACGCAGCCGUGUUCCUGCCUCUGACUGCCAUCGUCCUCACAGAGCCCAGCCUAACUUCUCCAGUCCGGCAACACUACUGCUGUACCUCGGAGUGAAGCCGCUUUUUGAGCAUCAAACCAGCAGACUAAUCCACUAGCAUAACCAUCACCCUGAUUCCUCUGUCCUCUUUUGUUAAAUAUCAUAAUAUCAUCAUAUAGCGUAACGACCCUGGGUUUAUAAGCGUGGAUAGCGACUCUCUGCUUGAGUAUGCUUUUGGGGCACAGCGAUAGCGCGCUGGUCAUUGGGCUAGAAGGUCGAGGGUUCGAGUCCUGCUCCCUGCCUGUUUCAUUACGUCUCAUUUUAAUAUCGUUAUAUUUCUGUGCUACAGAAAUGAUCUGACAGUUCCAAACUCAAUCAGAAGCUUUUCUAAAUUUUAUUCAAGUAGUAUAAUUGUCAUUUGCAAGUACCUAUUAAAAGUAAUAUAUUGGAAUUAUUAUUUGAAGCUCUCUCACAUAUAGUAGGUCUACAUAGCACACAGAGGUAGACAGUUUAACAGUCACACGGAACAAAUAAAACCUGUAUAAAAUCCUCUAUGACGUCCUUUCUUUUCUUCGUGUUCAGCUCCAGGUUGUUUCCGCUGCACAUCGCUGUUAGACACUGCGCUUCUUGUCUGUCUAUAGGCUGUCUCGUCGUUGCUAUUGACGACACUUAUGACGUUUUUAGUCUCACAAUGGAUUCUGAGGACCCCCUUUUAUUAUAGUGCUGUGAUAAUACAAACAUACAGCCUCCUUAAUAUCUAAACUUAUUAUUUGAAUGACUGAAGACGGAGAGUUCUGCAUGAAAGAUGUAUUUUAUUAUUGGCAGGGACGUGGCACACAACCAUUGGUUUAUGCAAUGUAGCGUGUCAAUUGUAGGCGGCCUCAUAAGAAUUCAGUGGGCUGGGCUGCAGAGGAGCUCAGCAUUUCUUCCGAAUCUCUCUCUCCCCUCGGUGUUUGGGGUGUAGUUCACAAUGGGAGCCGAGACUACCGCACGGUGGAAGUAGAGAGACGCCGAUGAAGUGUGUAUCAGUCAUUGCUGGUGGCUGGCAGCGACGGCAGAGCAGAGCGUGACAUGCCAGUGUUUUUUCCUGAGGGGAUGUGUUUUCUUGGUCUUGGAUCCACGGAGUGAUGGCAGAAUGUUCCAUUUAUUUUAUGGAUCUUUCUUAUUUCUGCCACCAUGGCAUGAUCCAGAGCAGGGCGGUGUAACUGGGUGAUUCAAAAUCACGGUUAUAGUGAUCGGAAGAGACACGGAGGAUUUUGCAACAAGUGCAAGUAGGAAAACCGUCAUGACACCUUUCCCCUUCAUAAUCAACGCAGUUCUCUCUGGCAGUGUUCAAGCCUCAGCAGCAGUCAAUCGGAGUGUUUCUGGCUUCUGGCUGAUUUGUUCUUCUGAUGAUCACGGUUGGCAGCUCCCUUCUGGUUUCGUUUUACAGCUCAGAGUAUCAGUGAGUAGUGCUGGUUAUAUAGGGACUUGUAUUUCCAACCACUUACAUCGGUUUUAUCCAACCGAGGUCGUUUUGUCCAGCCGGUGCAUUAUAUCCGACCGAGGCUUUAUAUUCAACCGAGGCCGUUAAUAUCCAACCGAGGUCGUUUUGUCCAGCCGGCGCGUUAUAUCCGACCGAGGCCGUUUUUUCCAACCGAGGUUGUUUCUCAGUUUUUAUUUUUAUUAUUAUUUUUCCGAACAUGACUCUAGUAUUUAGUGAGAUAUAAUAUUGAAAUGUGAAAUUAAAGACAUUACUAUAUUCUGGUUGGUUUGUUUCCGUUUUAUUCAACAAAGUACCACGUUGUACACAUAAGCAUACAUAGAUACGGUUUCGGGCUGGAAAUGAGUGAACCGAUUCCAAGCUUUGACAAGUUUAGAAAUAACAGUCACGGGGAGAUGUUCACUCUUGCACGGUCGCUGACAGACUGAGGGUGUUUUGGGUCUGGGACUAUGAACGGGGCGGAGCUACCGCAGCUAUCCAAUCAUAGCUGACUGGUACAUUCCACCACGCCUCUAUUAUCCGAACAUGACUCUGGUAUGCAGCUACGGCUGAGCUAUCCAACAGUGGCCGAUACAGAUAUCCACUGCCGGCUGACUCGUCCAACCAUGGCUGUAUUCUGAAGUGUCCAACCGAGAGCUGGAGAGGUGCCAAGUUCAUGUAGGGAAAGCCCCUGGCACUUCUCAGUUUCGGUCUGGAAUCGAAAUGAGUCAAAAGACUUCAAACUUUGAGAACUUUGAAAUAGUAGCCAGGGGAGAAGUUCACUCUGGCACUGAGUUCGUGAAGUGGAGGCUCAGGACGGCUCUGCUUCACGUAGAGGAAGCCCUGGAAAUUGAGUACACACUAAACUUGUUCUUUAAAAAAAAAAAUGUUAUGUUUUCAUACUGUCAUACUCUGCCUCCCUAAGUGUAUAUUACUGUCCAUGAGCGAGUGAUAUAAUAUUGAAAUGUGAAAAUAAAGACAUGACUAUAUUCUG